AUGGAUGCACCGGCGCCACUAGGCCACCGCGGGCGCCGCGUCGAGCAGCGCGACUACGAGAAACGGGAGGAGGAGGACGUCAGGUGGCAGCCCGUCAGGCUCGUGCCCUGGGACUACAUCCUGCUCCGCCACGCCAGCGGCCGCUUCCUCCGCGCCAAUGGGAAGUACCUCCCCUGGAACAACGGUGCCAGCGUCGACGACUUCGACACCGUCAGCACGAUGACUCACUGGGUCGUGGAGCGCAUCCCGGCCAGCGAGGGCAUGCCUGAGGAGCAACAAAUGGAGAAAACGACUAUGAACCAGGUCUUCCAGAUUUUGAUCCUGUUAAGCAUCACAACAGUUGCUGUCCAUGGGUCAAUGGGAUUGUUGCAGUAG
rnacentral:rRNA from 1 species